rnacentral:rRNA from 1 species
UACGGAGGAUGCGAGCGUUAUCCGGAUUUAUUGGGUUUAAAGGGUGCGUAGGCGGCUUAGUAAGUCAGCGGUGAAAUUUUGCAGCUUAACUGUAACAGUGCCGUUGAUACUGCCAGGAUAGGAUUUGGUUGCUGUGGGUGGAAUGUGUGGUGUAGCGGUGAAAUGCUUAGAUAUCACACAGAAUAUCGAUUGCGAAGGCAGCUCACAAAGCCAAGAUUGACGCUGAGGCACGAAAGUGUGGGGAUCAAACA